rnacentral:lncRNA from 1 species
AUUGGACCUGUUUUCUUGUCUUGGCCUUAACCCUCUUCUUAAAGCCCCACUCCAUCCUCUACAGGUAUUAUCAAAGAGAAGAUGAGAACCUUGAACUGAGAGGACCUCACAAGCCUGUAGUGAAGGAAGACCCUGUUGCCAAGAUGAGGUGCAGACGGUGGAGUUAAUCAUUCUCCUCAGUUCCUACUUGGUGAAUGUUUCAUGCAUCCGUGUGAAGAGAGUCCACCAAACAGGCUUUGUGUCUUUACCUCUCAACUGAACCCUGAACUCCUGGAGAAUAGAUGCUGUCGGGAAAUCACCAGCUUCUCACAAAGCAAUGAUCGUUGAAUAAAUCCUUGUUAAAUAAUGACAGUUUUCCUUUUUGGAUUGCUGUGAUCUCUACUCCCAUCACGACUGCUAAGCCUUGGGCAGGAGACCUUGUAUUCCCAGCCAGCUAUUCUUCCCACCGCCAUCCGUAGUUGGUCUCACUAUGUUGUGCAGGCUGGCCUCAAACUCCUGGGCUCAAGGGAUCUUCUCAUCUCAUCCUUCCAAAGGGCUGCGAUUACAACUGUUUUAGGCACAUCUUGUAUCCCUCUUGCCUCAACUCUGGAAUUGGUUACCACUACUUCUGAACUGGGUGGCAGCUACAGACAGAGGUGGUAAGGGAGUAAUUGCUUAGGAUUGGACUGAGCUGAAGAAUGUUUAGCCUGGCGGUACUAGUGCAACUGGAAGAACAGAUGAACCAUAGUUUGCAACACAAAGCCAAGUCAACCAACAGAAGAAAUAUAUAUUUUAAGAAGAUUUUAUAUUUUCAACUGAAAACGUUCAUGUCAGUUGUGAAUGUAUUUGUAAUUGGCAGCCCCAAAUCAUCUCCCUUUUUAUUUUUGAGAAAGUGUAGUGUGCUUUAGUAUUUGGAACAUUCAUUUAAACCUAUUAAAUUAUAUUUUAAAAUGCACUGUUCCCAUUUCAAUCAAAAUUGGUUUUAUACUAUAUAUUGUAACACUAAAGUGCUUCUGGUAAUUUGCUUGUAAAACCAAAACUCUUUUAAAUUUAUCCACUUGUCCCUUUCAGAAAUGACGUGUUUGUGCAUAGGACUUGUUAGUAUUCUGAUUCAAACAAAACUACAGUACAUGUAAAAACAUAUUUAUAGAACAUAAAUAAGAAAAUGUGAACCCUGAAGAAUAUUUGAUGGAACUAAUGGACUAUUCUAAUUUUUAUGUGUGAAAAUGAUAAUGUGAUUUUUUAAAAGAGUCCUUCUUUUUUAGACAUGCACACUGAAAUAAUUAUAGAUGAAAUUAUGCAAUGUCUGUGAUUUGUUUCAAAAUAGUCUGGUGCUUAGGGAGAGAGAAGUGGGUGGGGAGAGAGAUGAAAUAAGCUUAGUUAUGAGUUGGUAAUUGUUGAAGCUGGGUCCUAUAUAUAUAUGGGGGUAAGGUCAUAUUCUAUUCUACUUUUGCAUAGAUUUGAAAUUUUUCAUAAUAAAAAGUUAAAAACAAAUCACACACCAAAAAAACUCCCAAACCCAACUGUCAUUAUUUAAUAACUUUGAACUUGGUAUGGACCUAAGAAGGCAUCUUUUACAAGGGAAAUGUGCAGUUCCAAGUCUUUUUCUUGAUGAUUGGGUCUGAAUGUGUUAAUCAAUGCUGCCCUGUCAUAGCCCCGACAUAGGGAAAAUGCUGAAAUGUGAUUUUUAAAUCAUAAAAAUGUGCCCAUAGUAAUAGCUCCAUCUUUUGCACAAUAUUUAAAUCAAUUCAUUGAUUUCCAGUUGCCUGAUAUUCUUAUUUCAGUAACAAAAUAAACGAUACAUAGUUCAGUAAAGUUGAAUCCAUUUGGGUUCAUUUGUGCUCGAAGUCUGAAGCCAAGUAAGAUCUGCUUCUUAGCUGCAUGUCAGGGGAUAAGGCAUCAGUCUCUUUGUAAGGCUUGGUUUCCUUUUUUUUCUUUUAUCGUACAGUUUCUAACCACGUUCAUGAAUAGAUAAAUUAAGGACAAAAUACAUCUAUAUCCCUCCUUGGCUCUUUGUUUAUUUGCAUAUACAGA